CCUACGGGUGGCAGCAGUGGGGAAUAUUGCGCAAUGGGCGAAAGCCUGACGCAGCGACGCCGCGUGAGGGAUGAAGGUCUUCGGAUCGUAAACCUCUGUCAGCAGGGAAGAACGGUCACUGUGCUAAUCAGCCGUGAAUUGACGGUACCUGCAAAGGAAGCACCGGCUAACUCCGUGCCAGCAGCCGCGGUAAUACGGGGGGUGCGAGCGUUAAACGGAAUUACUGGGCGAAAAGCGCUCGUAGGAGGUAUGUCAAGUCAAGGGUGAAAUCCCCGCGCUCAACGUGGGAACUGCAUUUGAAACUGGCAAACUGGAGUGGGUGAGAGGAUAGGGGAAUUCCAGGUGUAGGAGUGAAAUCCGUAGAUACCUGGAGGAACACCAGUGGAGAAGGCGACUAUCUGGCACAUAACUGACGCUGAGGAGCGAAAGCGUGGGUAGCAAACAGGAUUAGAUACCCUGUAGUC
rnacentral:rRNA from 1 species